ensembl:misc_RNA Metazoa_SRP Metazoan signal recognition particle RNA
GCCGGGCGUGGUGGCUCACGCCUGUAAUCCCAGCACUUUGGGAGGCUGAGAUGGGAGGAUCGCUUGAGGCCAGGAGUUUGAGAUCAGCCUGGUCAACAUAGUGAGACCUCCAUCUCUA